rnacentral:rRNA from 1 species
GACAGAGGGUGCAAACGUUGUUCGGAAUUACUGGGCGUAAAGCGAGUGUAGGCGGUCUGCUAAGUCGGGUGUGAAAGCCCCGGGCUCAACCCGGGAAGUGCACUCGAAACUGGCAGGCUAGAGUAUCGGAGAGGUUGGUGGAAUUCUCGGUGUAGGAGGUAGAAAUUCGUAGAUAUCGAGAGGAACACCGGUGGCGAAGGCGGCCAACUGGACGAAUACUGACGCUGAGACUCGAAAGCGUGGGGAGCAAACAGG